rnacentral:rRNA from 1 species
UACCAGCACCCCGAGUGGUCGGGACGUUUAUUGGGCCUAAAGCAUCCGUAGCCGGUUCUACAAGUCUUCCGUUAAAUCCACCUGCUUAACAGAUGGGCUGCGGAAGAUACUAUAGAGCUAGGAGACGGGAGAGGCAAGCGGUACUCGAUGGGUAGGGGUAAAAUCCGUUGAUCCAUUGAAGACCACCAGUGGCGAAGGCGGCUUGCCAGAACGCGCUCGACGGUGAGGGAUGAAAGCUGGGGGAGCAAACCGG